CCUGGAGGGUGAAUCACUCGAGUCCGAGCAGAAGGAGCAUUAGCCGCCUUCUCUCUGUGCAGGCUUCCAAGUCUUCCCUUUGGGUUACUGAGCUAAUCACGUCUCCUUCUUCCUCUAGGAAGGACCUGAGGCUGCUCCUACGUCACAUGUAGGAGCUGAUGGACCUGAUGGCAGAUGAGACUAGGGAGUUACUGAUAGCCAGCCUUUCCUAGGACUGGAUGCCCAGAGGAGAAUGCACCUGGAUUUAAUUACCAAACCCAUGGAGAGUUCCAGGAAUGUCCAAUCUCGGUGCCAUCUUCAAUUGUUUCCCUUAUUUGGUAAUUAAUUACCACAUCUGUCAACUGCAUUUUUUUAAACCAGUCAUCACGAUCCUGGAUACUCUUGGCUGGUCUUUAAACAUCUAAACUUCAUGGUCAAGACAAUGGCAUUCACCUUCCAAUUUUCAUUCUUGUAUUUCAUCUGCAAAUCAUUUGCCUUCAAAGAAAGUAACUGAGUAGUUCAAACGUCCUGAUUCAUCUGUUCUUGGCAGACCUUGUAGAGCCUCAAUAGAAGGAUUUUACAAAUCAUCCUCACCACACACAGUCCAUACAGCCCCGUAUAGUGCCUAUUUUAACACCAGAACCUAACAAGAAACUAGAGAAACAGGAAGACUUCAACUGGGAUUGUCCAGCUUCGGACUUUGGGUAAGAGAGGACCCCAAAGCAUCAUGUACAUUUGGCACAACACAAGCAACAGAGAUUUUAAUGACAUCACCUCCCAAGGGAAAGGCCAGCCAACUUAAGGGUCAUGUGGAAUUUCUCUAAUCUCGAGGGCAGAGGAUGCCACUGCCUCGUUCCUGCUACUUCACUCUGCUGAGGGGACUCACCAGGGACCAG